GAUGGAGGUCGGCAACGACCACCGCCAGGUGCAAAGUUGGUCAAACUUGGUCAUUUAGAGGAAGUAAAAGUCGUAACAAGGUUUCCGUAGGUGAACCUGCGGAAGGAUCAUUACUAAACAAUGUGCGGGAUAUCCCACCGGGGACUCCUUAGCAAAACACAUCCAUGAGUACCCUUCCAUGUUGCUUCCCCAGACCAGUAGCCACUGCUGCCAGCUCAGUACCGUGACCCAAAUGUGGGUUUCUUGGGUUGAGGUGUCUGGGGAAGGGCUUACUAUCAAACCUUUUAACCAAUUUUGUCGUCUGAAAAGGCCAUGUGCCGCAAACUUUAAUAUAUAUUAAAACUUUCAACAACGGAUCUCUUGGCUCUCGCAUCGAUGAAGAACGCAGCGAAAUGCGAUAAGUAAUGUGAAUUGCAGAAUUCAGUGAAUCAUCGAAUCUUUGAACGCACAUUGCGCCCUUUGGUAUUCCUUAGGGCAUGCCUGUUCGAGCGUCACUAAAAACCACCUCACAGAUAAUGUGGUAUUGGUAGAAGUGGGUUGUACUAACAGUACUUUGUCCUACUCUACUGAAAUCAAUAGGCCAGAAAAGUGGACCAUGGUAACAGACUCUCAGAAUGUUUUAAAAUGCUAAACUAGUCUUACCCAGGUUGGAAUCUGAGCUACUGGACCCCCCAUUUAGUCCAACAAAGAGAGGUUGACCUCGGAUCAGGUAGGGAUACCCGCUGAACUUAAGCAUAUCAAUAAGCGGAGGAAAAGAAACCAACAGGGAUUGCCUUAGUAACGGCGAGUGAAGCGGCAAAAGCUCAAAUUUGAAAUCUGGCACCUUUGGUGUCCGAGUUGUACUUUGGAGAG
rnacentral:rRNA from 1 species